AGAUUGAACGCUGGCGGAAUGCUUUACACAUGCAAGUCGAGCGGCAGCGCGGGGCAACCUGGCGGCGAGCGGCGAACGGGUGAGUAAUGCAUCGGAACAUGUCCAUUCGUGGGGGAUAGCCCGGCGAAAGCCGGAUUAAUACCGCAUACGCCCUUAGGGGGGAAAGCCGGGGGACCGCAAGGCCUGGCGCGAAUGGGUUGGCCGAUGCCCGAUUAGCUAGUUGGCGGGGUAAUCGGCCCACCAAGGCGAUGAUCGGUAGCUGGUCUGAGAGGAUGAUCAGCCACACUGGGACUGAGACACGGCCCAGACUCCUACGGGAGCAGCAGUGGGAAUUUGGACAGUGGGGACAACCUGAUCCAGCCAUUCCGCGUGAGUAGAAGAAGGUCC
rnacentral:rRNA from 1 species